UAGCGCCCUACGAGAAGAGGAUAACAGUUGGAAACGACUGCUAAGACUCUAUAUGCCUUUAAGACAGAAGUCUGCAAGGGAAAUAUUUAUAGCUCUAGGAUCAGCCUGUACAGUAUCAGUUAGUUGGUGAGGUAAUGGCUCACCAAGACAAUGACGCUUAACUGGUUUGAGAGGAUGAUCAGUCACACUGGAACUGAGACACGGUCCAG
rnacentral:rRNA from 1 species